rnacentral:rRNA from 1 species
UCCGCCUUCGACGUGCGCGAGCUCGCCCGUUUCGUCGCGGGCGCGCAGGCGGCCGUCAAUCUCGUCGGCGUGCUGCGCGGCGGGCACGGCAAGCCGUACGGCGAGGGCUUCGAGCGGCUGCACGUCGCGCUGCCCGCGGCGCUCGCCGCCGCAUGCAUCGAAGCGCGCGUGCCGCGCAUGCUUCACGUGAGCGCGCUCGGCGCCGAUCCGCACGCGCCGAGCAUGUACCUGCGCUCGAAGGGCGACGGCGAGAUCGCGCUGCGCGCGCAGGCCGCGGCGGGCGCGCUGGACGUCACGAUAUUCCGGCCGUCGAUCGUGUUCGGCCCGGGCGACGCGUUUGUCAACACGUUCGCGCGGCUUCAGCGGAUCUUUCCGGUGCUGCCGCUCGCGAUGCCCGACGCGCUGAUGCAGCCGGUCCACGUCGGCGACGUCGCGCAGGCGAUCGCGAACGCCUGCGUGCGCGACGCGACGCGCGGCCGGACCUACGAGCUCGGCGGGCCGCGCACCUACCGGCUCGAGGAGAUCGUCCGCUAUGCCGGGCGGCUGAUCGGCCGCCCCGCGCGGAUCGUCCGGCUGCCUGACGCGCUCGCGCGGCUGCAGGCGCGCGUGUUCGAGAUGCUGCCGGGCGAGCCGCUCGUCUCGCGCGACAAUCUCGCUUCGCUGUCGGUGCCGAGCGUGAUGACGGGGCCGAUCGCGCCCGAGCUCGGCAUCGCGCCCGCGAGCCUCGAGCACAUCGCGCCGACCUACGUCGGCGACGCGGCGCUGCGCUCGCGUUUUUCCGACCGGCGCGCGCGCCGGUAAGCAGGCGGGCGACCGCGGGCGCCGCGGAUCGGCUGGACAAUCGACAACUACAGGAUGAAUCCCAUGAAACUCGUGAUCGGAGACAAGAACUACUCGUCGUGGUCGAUGCGCCCGUGGGUGCUGAUGAAGCACUUCGGGAUUCCGUUCGACGAAGUGAUGAUCGGGCUGCGCCUCGACGACACGGCCGAGCGCAUCCGCGCGCAUUCGCCGUCGGGCAAGGUGCCGUGCCUCGUCGACGACGAAGGCGGCUCGGUCUGGGAUUCGCUCGCGAUCGUCGAGACGCUCGCCGAGCGCUUUCCGCAGCAUGCGCUAUGGCCGCGCGAUCCGGCCGCGCGCGCGCAUGCGCGCAGCGUGUCCGCCGAGAUGCACGCGGGCUUUCCCGCGCUGCGCAGCGAGAUGCCGCUCAACGUGCGCGAGUCGCACCCGGGGCGCGGUGCGACGCCCGCCGCGCUUGCCGACGUCGCGCGCAUCGACGAGCUGUGGCGCACGUGCGUCGCCGCGUCGGGCGGCCCGUUCCUGUUC